rnacentral:rRNA from 1 species
GUCCACGCUGUAAACGAUGGAUACUAGGUGUGGGAGGUAUCGACCCCUUCCGUGCCGCAGUAAACGCAAUAAGUAUCCCGCCUGGGGAGUACGGCCGCAAGGUUGAAACUCAAAGGAAUUGACGGGGCCCGCACAAGCAGCGGAGCAUGUGGUUUAAUUCGAAGCAACGCGAAGAACCUUACCAGAACUUGACAUCGUCUGCAUUACCCGUAACGGGGGAAAUCCUUCGGGACAGAUAGACAGGUGGUGCAUGGUUGUCGU